UCCCGACCACGUACCCCAGAGCUCAUGGAAAGGAAUAACGGAAGAGGGUAUCCACUCCCUAGCUCAAGAUCAUGAACUAAAUGAACCAAAGAAGGGAUAGGACCACUGCUCAGGUUGUGUGGGAUUAAUGAUCAUUGGCGACAGAAAGAAGAUGAAAUUGCUCAAGAAGGAUUUUUGAACAAAAAUGGCCCCAGGGGAACCGAUACCAACAUAAGUGAAGCAAUGGUUCUGUGCGACUAUGCCCACAGAGAAAGUCACUGGAUUUGGAAUCAGAAGACUUGGAUUCAAGUCCAGACUCUUACAACUAAUGUG